CCCUUGCAUAAGGUGGCCACACAAAUUUUGGAAGCAUUCCAUAUUUUG
rnacentral:snRNA from 1 species